rnacentral:rRNA from 1 species
UUAGCUGAGAGGUGGUGCAUGGCCGUCGUCAGUUCGUACUGUGAAGCAUCCUGUUAAGUCAGGCAACGAGCGAGACCCACGUCCACAGUUGCCAGCAUACCCUCCGGGGUGGAUGGGUACACUGUGGAGACCGCCGCUGCUAAAGCGGAGGAAGGAGUGGGCAACGGUAGGUCAGUAUGCCCCGAAUCUCCCGGGCUACACGCGGGCUACAAUGGUUGGUACAAUGGGCAUCUACCCCGAAAGGGGAAGGAAAUCUCUUAAAGCCAAUCGUAGUUCGGAUUGAGGGCUGCAACUCGCCCUCAUGAAGCUGGAAUCCGUAGUAAUCGCGUUUCAACAGAACGCGGUGAAUACGUCCCUGCUCCUU